UUUAACCCUUUUAGAGUUGUAUAAUAUUCACGAUUUCCGUUAGAAUUUGUGAACAAGUUAAAAUUUUUAUUGUGAGAUUUAAAUUUUUGAAUUGUUGAGGAUAAAGCGUAUAUCUUUGUUUUAAAUGAAAUAUAAUUUAUUUUUUUCUUUUCUGAUUAUAAUUUUUUUUGUGAUUUUUUGUAGAUAAAAGUUCUAAAAUUCGCGAUCUUUAUAAACUAUAAUUUUUUGCAGGAGAAAAAUAUUUUAAUUCUAAAAAAAUUAGUAAUUGAUAUAAACUAGCCAUUAUAUUAUAUACAUGAAUCUUAUAUUUUCCUUUCUAUCAAUACCAUGUAGGCGUUAUGUAAGAAACGUUUUCUAACGAAUAAUAUGAGUCACUAAGGAAAUCAAUAAAACAUAAUCUGUUGAAAAUUUAAAGAUCACAUAUGUUUAUCAACUUUAAUUAUUAUCUAAGUGUUCAUUUUUAACUUUAUUUUAUUAAAUUUUGAUUGAAUUUUAAUAAAUAGUCGUAAAUGUUAUUAUAAAAAUAAAAUGUUUUUGAAAUAUAUCUUUAAUUUAAUUAUAAUAAAAUUUUAUGUUAUUAAAUAUUAACGAUUUUUUAUUAUAUAUAAUUAUAAAAUUUUCGAAAUCAAAUGAUUGUCUAUGUGUCGUAACCAGGUUACGUUGCUACAGAACAUGGAGUAGGGUUCCAUGUGAUCACAAUCCGAUAUUGACUCGAGAGUAUUCGGAUAAGUCCGGAUUCAUUCGUUUUCAUUCGUUCAUAUACAACGUUGAAAUUCUUUGCAUUAUUCUUUGUUAUCGAAAUUUCAGGUCUUUUUAUAUAUUUUUCUAUUUUUCAUCUAUAUUCUUUUUAGUGUUGAAGUUAAUCAUUCACUUUAUCGACCACAUGAAAAUUGGUAUUUGUUAUACACGUGACAAUAAACGAGAAAUUCCAUUCUUUUGUUGAGAAUAGACUGAAGCAGUGAAUUAUAAAUACAUCAUUGUUAAAACAUCGUGAAAUAAAAGAUGGAAAAGUAUACAAUAGGUUAGAAACCAUGGAAUUGCAAAGGAUUAAGAAAUAUGAAAGUCAUCUUGAAGUUUUUAAAUAGCAUUUCAUAUUUUCUUUGUAGUGAGAUAAUAACUUCAAUUCUUCAGUAAAUUAGAACAUACAUGUUCAAAUAAAAUAGAAACUAUAUCAAAUAAAAUAGAUCAUUUGACUUCCAUAAUCAUGGCAUAAUCAGG